rnacentral:lncRNA from 1 species
CACUACCUCUCUAACCCAUGACCACCUUCAAUCUCUCUUAAGCUCUCUCUCUCACAGACCCCCCCUCAGGCUGAAAAGAAAAAAGAAACAAAGAAGAAGAAAUACUUUCUUCCUCUCCUGCCGCACAUCACUUCCACCCACACAACACAUCCACCGCACCCCCUCUUCCUCUUCACACCAAAACCACCUCCAUCUUCCUAUCUAAAUCCAGCCGGAAAAUCGUUUCUUUCGCCUCCUAAAAACAAUCACCGCCGUUCACCACCGAAACAACCUCCACCAUGCACCUCCGUCCGGCGAACCAUCAUCCUCACUCCCUUUCCUUAACAACUCCCUCACCGCUACAACCUCCGGCAAACCCAACCUACCACCAUCCCCCAUCGUCUUCACCACACUAACACCUCAUUCUCGCUUCCGUCAAAACAACCAACUGCGCCUCCGGCGGUUCUCCACCACUUCGUCCUCUGGAUUCAACACCUCCAACCUUCGUCUCUGUUGAAUUUCCAUCUGGUUUAGAAGGCUUAUUCAGCCAUCACUGUAUGUUGCAAUAGUUGCGGUGACGACGUUUCUUUUGUGACUUAAAAACUCUGAAAAAAGACCAGGUUUUGUAAAGGUAAGACAAUAACGACCACAACCUCGACUCAACCCGUGUUUCCGCAACAACGGGAAUUUGCGCAACUUCGCCUCGUUUCUUUCCGUCGGGCUUCCAUAACCGGCGAAGCCAAACAACAAACCUUCCAGCUCUGCAACGACAACAAAUGACAGCAGUGACACAACUUCGGUAAAUAUCUCGAUUUCGUAUGCUUACUGUGUUAUGAUUUUGAGAAUAAUUUUGUUAUUACAGUAAACUUUUAUCACUGGUUUGUGUUGAUUUCUCUUGUAUUACAACUGGUUGCAACUAUUAUAGUAAUAUGGAUAUUCUAAAAUUGAUUCCAUUUGGUAGUCGGUUUGAAUACGACUUUGGCCUAAUUAUUCUCUACUGUAUUACCAAAGUGUUGCUGUAACUAACUCUAGAAGGUUUUUGCUGUUAUGAUAAUUUGUGAGCAUUAUACAUAUUGAAUUGCAACUUAUAUUUGGCACGUCCAGUUGGUUUUCUGUUUGGCAAAGUGUUAUAUUGUUCUUAUGGGCAAGGCUUUUGUUUAUUGUUAUAUCCAACAGGUUUGUUGAUGUUAUUCUCCUUACGUCCUGUUAAUCGUAUCAUGUUGAUUCUGUGGGCAUAUUGAACUUCAUGAUGUGUUAUGUUAGGGUAAUUUAGUAUUGAUUACAAUGGAUUGGUUACAUGUUUACUGCUAUUAUUUGCUUUCUGCGGAAUUAAAAUGGUUUGGCAUCGCGUAGAACAGUUUAUGUCAUGUUUUCCGGGAUGUUAUGUUGUUUGUUAUAGCCAUAGUUUUGGUUUUGAUUCGGUUGCAAUAAUCUAUGCUGAUGGGUAUGUUGUAAUAUUCUUUUCCGGGGUAUUUUCGAUGUGAUCGUGUUGUUGUUGUUGUUGUGUGCUUAAGUUGUCGCGUUUAAAAUCGAAUAUCAUUCGCAGCUUCGACGUGUAAAUGUUUCGAUUAUAUUUCUGUUUCAAUUGCAUAUUUACUUCCUUUCCGAUUGGGUUAUACCGUUUUGGUAUUCGAUAUUAUAAUGUUGAAAAUACUGUUAUAAACAGGAACUUGUAUCAUAUUCUGGUUCUGUUCUAGCUGUUGAAUCAUGCUUAUAGCUCUAAUAUUUGUUUCGGUUUCAAUAUGGUUGCAUUACAUGUCGGUUUUAUUGCAUAAAUUUCAAAGCCGUAUGUUUUGUGAUGGAGUGUGUUUCGGGAUGAAUAACCUUGUAAAUAUUCAUAAGUUGUUUUUUAUUAUGCUACAUUAUUAUGCUAGUUUCUAUAAUAUUGAUUCAGUGGAAGAUUCUUAUAAGGUUCAAGGUAUAUCAUGUACUAUUUUUCUAUAGGCUUUUCUUGUUAAUUUUGAUUUGUUUACAUUGUUGUUGGUGUUUGUUUUGUAUAAAAGCAUUUGUGAGUAUCCUGUAUAUUGGGCAUUUGGGGAUUGUGUAGAUGUUGUUUGUGGUAGCUCUAGGAGAAAAGUGUUUACUGUCAUUUUAAAAGGUGUUUUACUUCAGUUUCCUGCUGCUAUCACUUUUAAUUAGUACUGCUUAUUUAUUUUUCUUCCUUUUAAUCACUGUUUUGUUAAUUCAUAUCAUGUGAAUGUCUUUAUGUUUGUUAAUAGCAUAUUAGGUAUAGUAAAUGGGAAUGGGAGACACAGAGUUAUAUCAUUUAUACUACCAUCAUUCUAAUUUUUUUUAACGUUUUUAUUUGACCUCAAUUGGUUUUAUUAUAGUCUUGUUUAGGAUUGUUAUGAGAAUUUUACAUUGUUAC